rnacentral:rRNA from 1 species
ACGAACGCUGGCGGCGUGCUUCACACAUGCAAGUCGAACGGAAAGGCCCUGCUUUUGUGGGGUGCUCGCGUGGCGAACGGGUGAGUAACACGUGAGUAACCUGCCCUUGACUUUGGGAUAACUUCAGGAAACUGGGGCUAAUACCGGAUAGGAGCUCCUGCUGCAUGGUGGGGGUUGGAAAGUUUCGGCGGUUGGGGAUGGACUCGCGGCUUAUCAGCUUGUUGGUGGGGUAGUGGCUUACCAAGGCUUUGACGGGUAGCCGGCCUGAGAGGGUGACCGGCCACAUUGGGACUGAGAUACGGCCCAGACUCCUACGGGAGGCAGCAGUGGGGAAUAUUGCACAAUGGGCGGAAGCCUGAUGCAGCAACGCCGCGUGCGGGAUGACGGCCUUCGGGUUGUAAACCGCUUUCGCCUGUGACGAAGCGUGAGUGACGGUAAUGGGUAAAGAAGCACCGGCUAACUACGUG